CAAGUAUGAUAUCCAUUUGGGAGAACUUCUAUCACAAAAUAAAGUUAUGGAUUAUUUAACUGUAUAAAUAUGUUAGUAUUGUCUUAACGUGUCAUGCUCAAAACUACUUAACAUGUUUUUCUUCUCUUUGUUUCACUUCUGUAAUAACUACUCAACUCCAUUAGAAUGGAGAACAUGUCAGUUCUAAAGGGCUAUGUAACAACAUAUUACCAUAUUAUUACAGUAUUGGCUCAUUCACAGGUCUGAACUCUAUACAGUACAUCCCCAUGGCAACAUAGCACCUCAGGGGGAACAGCUGUAGGCUACACCCACGCUGUAAUGUCAACACAGAGCCAGCCAUGACAACUGCAGUAGGAAGAGAAAAGCCUUUGGAGCAAGAAGCAUCUUGUCAUUCAGGCAAAACACCUUUACAUCAGCGAAGCACAAUCAAGAAGAAAGGAGUGAGAAGAAGAAUCUGGGUCAAAAGCCAUGGGUGUGGUGCAUAUCAGAGUGGAGUACUGUGGCCAAUGAGGGUACGAGCCCCGCUACAAGAAACUUCAGCAGGCUGUCGCUGUGGAGUUUCCUGAGGCGGAGGUGUCAGGCUUUGUAGGACGAAAAGGGAGCUUUGAGUUGGAGAUCAACGGGGAGUUGGUCUUCUCCAAGCUGGAAACAGGUGGCUUCCCCAUGGAAAAGGAUGUCAGGGAUGCUCUCCAGAACACCUAUGAUGGCAAGCAAGUGGAAAAGUGGACCAGAAAUCGCCCACCUUGUGUCAUCCUGUAGAUCUCAAUUCCCUCUAUCCUCCAACAGUUAUCACUCAGACCAAUGCUGAUGUCUGUCACCACUCACACAGCAGAGAAUAUUUUCUGUUCCUUCUCUCUCUCUGCUCCCAUUGCAGUGUUCCAGGACUUUAUAUGAUUACUGUAGACCAAAGCUGAAAGGUUUAUAGUAUGAUGACCCCAGUGCUGGCAGCUCCUAUGUUAUGGGAUCAGAGAAAGGGAGGACAUGGGAAGACUGGUUGGGUGGAACUUCCUUAUUCCAGAUCUUCUAUGCCUAUCUGCUUACAGCACCAUCAUCAGCCAGAUAAACGAUCAAUUUGAGCUGCUGAAGCCUGUCUCGCGUUGUGUUACUGUGUAUUGAUCUCCCAUAUUGCAACUGAUGCUUUGAAAUUAGCUUUAAGUAGAACUGGUCAGUUGAGUAGAUGAAUUGCUAGUUAUGGUAAUGAAGGCCACCACCCACUGGUCUGUCUGCUACACUAACGAGACAUCAGCCCAUGUUCAUCACACGCCAUUUCAAUUAUCAUCGCUGAAUACUGUUAUUGAUUGCUGAUGACAAUGUUUGAUACCCACUGGGAGGACUUCAAUCUCGAAACAAAAUAAAAUGACAUUGUUUGUUUUCUUCCUAA